rnacentral:rRNA from 1 species
GAUGAACGCUGGCGGCGUGCUUAACACAUGCAAGUCGAGCGAGUGAGUUCUUCGGAACGAUCUAGCGGCGGACGGGUGAGUAACACGUGGGCAACCUGCCUCAUAGAGGGGAAUAGCCUCCCGAAAGGGAGAUUAAUACCGCAUAACAUCGUUGAAGGGCAUCCUUCGAUGAUCAAAGGAGCAAUCCGCUAUGAGAUGGGCCCGCGGCGCAUUAGCUAGUUGGUGAGGUAACGGCUCACCAAGGCGACGAUGCGUAGCCGACCUGAGAGGGUGAUCGGCCACAUUGGGACUGAGACACGGCCCAGACUCCUACGGGAGGCAGCAGUGGGGAAUAUUGCGCAAUGGGCGAAAGCCUGACGCAGCAACGCCGCGUGCGGGAUGACGGCCUUCGGGUUGUAAACCGCUUUCAGCAGGGAAGAAGCCGCAAGGUGACGGUACCUGCAGAAGAAGCACCGGCUAACUACGUGCCAGCAGCCGCAGUAA